UUUUUUGACCACAUCACAUUGAAUGCGCCCGAUUUCGGAAGUUACGCUGAAUCGAGUCUGGUUAGUAGUCGGAUGGAAGAUUGCCUGGGAAUAAUAGCUGUUGCAGACA
rnacentral:rRNA from 1 species